CAGCAGCCACGGUAAUACGAAGGGUGCAAGCGUUACUCGGAAUUACUGGGCGUAAAGCGUGCGUAGGUGGUGGUUUAAGUCCGUUGUGAAAGCCCUGGGCUCAACCUGGGAAUUGCAGUGGAUACUGGGUCACUAGAGUGUGGUAGAGGAUAGUGGAAUUUCCGGUGUAGCAGUGAAAUGCGUAGAGAUCGGAAGGAACAUCUGUGGCGAAGGCGACUAUCUGGGCCAACACUGACACUAAGGCACGAAAGCGUGGGGAACAAACAGGAUUAGAUACCCGGGUAGUCCCUGUCUCUUAUAC
rnacentral:rRNA from 1 species